AACUGCCUCACAAGCAUCCCAGAGUCCAGUCAGCAGACAGCAGAGGAGACUGUCAGCAGACCACCUUGGAGGGGAUGCUUGGAGCUGCCUAACGUGCGAUUCAAAGAUGAAUUCCAUGUGUUUGGAGAAGAAGCCCUAGCCUCAACACAAAGGUUGGCCACAUUCCAGCCAAGGUAGCACGGAGUGAAGGCCCAUGGAGGGAGAGCUGGGCUUUUCUGAACUACUUCAGUACACCUUGCUGUGCCUCGGCCUGCCGUGUUUCAUCCCCAUGGCUGUCCUCAGUGAUGUGCAUGGUCACUGCUCCCUUCACCACUGAGAAGACGGGCACAGGACGGUCAGGGGACGUGUCCAAGGUCCCACAGCAGGAAGGGCUGGAGCCAGAAUGUGGUCUGAGAGGCUGGAUAUACAAAGAGACAAUGGUGUGACCAUCUGUACAAAUGGAACUAUGGCCCACAACCUGCAGCAGCCAGCCCAGGAAGCCAACCUGUCACCUGCAGUAGCCAGGAUGGAUGCUGGCCUGCCCUCAGUUGUACUCACAUCAUUGGUCUUAUGGGGAAAUUUUAAGAACUCCCACUUGUAAGGUUUUAUAGCCCUCUAUGGAAUAUUGAAGAAAGAGUAAAAUGCAUCCAAAAAAAAAAACAAAAAACACUAAACUGGAUAAAUUCUAAGGCCUCUUCAGGUCUUAAGAUGGCCAUUUUCUAGGUCCUCUUGCUGCAGCAGUGAAAUCCACAAACACGGGCAAGUCAGUCAGUUACGUGCCUUUCAGAGAAAACUUCUGACUUAGGAACUCCAGCUAUUUGGCCCAACCCAUAUUAGAUUGUGUUAUAAAGACAUGGUAAAUUACAUCACGAAGGGAAGAGCAGAGGAAACAUAAUAUUCCUUCAAGACCCAUCAGCUCAGAUGUUAGCAGAACACCCCUAAGGAGGAAAACAAGAAAUUUUGGGUUUGAACUUGGUGCUUCCCAGCAGCCCUGGGAGUGGGGUCAGAAGCCCUGCUGGGGGGCGAAGAACUCUGAGGAUCAAAGAUGUUGAGCAUCACCUUAGAGGCCAAAGAUCAGAACAGCGGAGGUGGCCUUUGAAGCCCAACCUGUCUUUCACCAGAGAGUGAGAACGGCCUCUAUUUCCAGGAAGCUCACUGCAGCAAUAAUCACGAUGCUCUGAGCCUGACAAGCUGGCUUUGGGGAAGUAAAGGAAACCAGGGAAGAAGGGGCUGAAUUGGUUUCCACCGUGACCUUUGAACCCUCGGGCGAGUUGUCAACCUCACUGAGGAUGAGUGUACUCGAUAUCAAAUGAGGUCACUUUACUCGCAAGCUUGUUGUGAGGACUGAAUGAAACCUUUUCUUUUUUCUUGGAGUUUCAGAGCAAUGUCCCUGAGCCAAGCCCCACACUGGCUUGAGCCCUAUCGUCGGUCAAGACACGGUGCUUUCUCCCCUCCCCUCUGCACUCCAGCUUACUCUGCAGUCAGGAGGUGGCACCAGGAUCCCCUUUAAGACUUUGCCACUUGGGCCAGCUGUGCCCCUGUGAAAUUCCCUGUUUCUAUUGCAGGCCACAAGGACGAGCUGAGAAAUGGCUUCCAGUCACCAUCUAGAUUAGAAAGCCUAUAUUUCAAAUAUAGAGAUAUCAAUUAUGCCUGUAAAAAGACAUUAAAUCCCACAGGGCUGUAAUUCCUAGACUCUACGAAUUUCAUCUUGCACCAAAUUUUAUUAUUUCAUUUAUAAUUCGGAUUCUUCAAAUCUAAGAGUGCCUGGCUCAAAAUUAAAAUACCUACAACUAUGCCAAAACUGGACUCUUUAAUUGCCUUACUGGAACCAGUAGCUGAUUCAAAGCAAAACGAAACAAAAUUCCUCCUUUCUCUGAUUUAGUGAAUCAAUGAUCUAACUGAACUCAUUUUUAGACUGAGUUUGCGGCACUUGCAGCCCUGAGGGACACAUUCCCCCACCACACUGAGCCUGCACUCCCAUCAAUGCAAAUGAACAUUUUGCUUAUUCAGAUUGGGGGGGGUGAAGGAAGUCACAAAAGGGUUAAUAUAUAUGGCAUCUCAUUGUAAUAUGUACUCACUACUAACUAAAUUAAAAGAGAUGUGAGUUAUUAAAAACUCCAUCUUAAGAAAGUAACAGAAAUCAGAGUUCAGAUUCGUUGUUACUGAGUUUCCAACCAACACCUGUGAGUUAAACCUACGGCCACCCUGAAAACGGUUCAUAUUUUCAAAAGCUUCAUCGAAGAUGAGCUGCACUAAAGAUUCAUAUUACAUAUCAUGCUGCAAUAAGAAAAUCAAAUAAGGCCUUUCCAUAUUCAAUAAUAAAGUUUAAAGAAAAGUAAUAUUUGUUUAGCCAGUUAGCCAGAAAUUAGAUGUAUCAGAAUACAUCAUUCUUUGAGCAUUUUAGAAAAUCAGGGUAUUUCUACAUUGUGUUUUUCUUUGUAAGCCCUCAAAAAAUAUAGAGAAUAUUCUUGAAA
rnacentral:lncRNA from 1 species